rnacentral:rRNA from 1 species
UGAGUAACGCGUGAGGAACCUGCCUUCCAGAGGGGGACAACAGUUGGAAACGACUGCUAAUACCGCAUGAUGCAUUUGAAUCGCAUGGUUUGAAUGUCAAAGAUUUAUCGCUGGAAGAUGGCCUCGCGUCUGAUUAGCUAGUUGGUGAGGUAACGGCCCACCAAGGCGACGAUGCGUAGGGGUUCUGAGAGGAAGGUCCCCCACACUGGUACUGAGACACGGACCAGACUCCUACGGAAGGCAGCAG